CAAAGCUAAUUUUAAAAGUUUAAAAUAUAUAUGGUGCAGAGAAGAUUAGCAUGGCCCCUGCGCAAGGAUGACACACAAAUUCGUGAAGCGUUCCAUAUUUAA